rnacentral:rRNA from 1 species
UACGAAGGAGGCUAGCGUUGUUCGGAAUUACUGGGCGUAAAGCGCACGUAGGCGGAUACUUAAGUCAGGGGUGAAAUCCCGGGGCUCAACCCCGGAACUGCCUUUGAUACUGGGUAUCUCGAGUCCGGAAGAGGUGAGUGGAAUUCCGAGUGUAGAGGUGAAAUUCGUAGAUAUUCGGAGGAACACCAGUGGCGAAGGCGGCUCACUGGUCCGGUACUGACGCUGAGGUGCGAAAGCGUGGGGAGCAAACAGG